rnacentral:rRNA from 1 species
GACGAACGCUGGCGGCGUGCUUAACACGUGCAAGUCGAACGGAAAGGCCCUGCUUUUGUGGGGUGCUCGAGUGGCGAACGGGUGAGUAACACGUGAGUAACCUGCCCUUGACUUUGGGAUAACUUCAGGAAACUGGGGCUAAUACCGGAUAGGAGCUCCUGCUGCAUGGUGGGGGUUGGAAAGUUUCGGCGGUUGGGGAUGGACUCGCGGCUUAUCAGCUUGUUGGUGGGGUAGUGGCUUACCAAGGCUUUGACGGGUAGCCGGCCUGAGAGGGUGACCGGCCACAUUGGGACUGAGAUACGGCCCAGACUCCUACGGGAGGCAGCAGUGGGGAAUAUUGCACAAUGGGCGGAAGCCUGAUGCAGCAACGCCGCGCGCGGGAUGACGGCCUUCGGGUUGUAAACCGCUUUCGCCUGUGACGAAGCGUGAGUGACGGUAAUGGGUAAAGAAGCACCGGCUAACUACGUG